AUGGUAGGCCUGCAGUCGACGAUUCGCGGCCUAUCAGCUUGUUGGCGGGGUAACGGCCCACCAAGGCGACGACGGGUAGCCGGCCUGAGAGGGCGACCGGCCACACUGGAACUGAGACACGGUCCAGACUCCUACGGGAGGCAGCAGUGGGGAAUAUUGCACAAAGGGCGAAAGCCUGAUGCAGCAACGCCGCGUGGGGGAUGAAGGCCUUCGGGUUGUAAACCCCUUUCAGUAGGGAAGAAGCGAAAGUGACGGUACCUGCAGAAGAAGCGCCGGCUAACUACGUGCCAGCAGCCGCGGUAAUACGUAGGGCGCAAGCGUUGUCCGGAAUUAUUGGGCGUAAAGAGCUCGUAGGCGGUUUGUCGCGUCUGCUGUGAAAACCCGAGGCUCAACCUCGGGCCUGCAGUGGGUACGGGCAGACUAGAGUGUGGUAGGGGAGAUUGGAAUUCCUGGUGUAGCGGUAAAAUGCGCAGAUAUCAGGAGGAACACCUAUGGCGAAGGCAGAUCUCUGGGCCACAACUGACGCUGAGGAGCGAAAGCGUGGGGAGCAAACAGGAUUAGAUACCCUGGUAGUCCACGCCGUAAACGGUGGGCACUAGACGUGGGGCUCAUUCCACGAGUUCCGCGUCGCAGCUAACGCAUUAAGUGCCCCGCCUGGGGAGUACGGAAU
rnacentral:rRNA from 1 species